UUUGCUGCCUUAUUGAGGUGUCCUACUAUUAAUCUAUUGUAGACAUGGAUGGCCCACACAGUAGCCGUGGCAGCAUAUUGCCCCCCCAAUUAGUCUUAUCUUAUAGCUCACAGUCGUGAAUUGCAAAAUAUAGUUCAGGGCCAAGUGAAUUGCGAUACAAAGGAUCUUGUGUCCUCAAUAUUUAUAGCGGAUCUACUUAUUCCACUCGACUUGAAAAGUUCACAACGUGGGAUAAUUCCAGCUGCCAGAUGGAUCCAUUUAACUACAUGUAGGGCUAAUGUCACAACCUAUGGUAAAACUGGAGAGUAAACUCUAGUUUAUACCAAUAAUAAACAAGAUUGCUAUAUUUUACAGGUAACAGUUUAAGAAGACAGUUUUCUGCCAGUUGUCACUAACAUGGAAAUAUAUCUAAAAUUUUUCCUGUAUUUAUUUUAAAGUUGAAUUGAUAAAGAAAGUUGUAUAAAGUAAAAUGAACAAAGAACAAUUUGCAGUUGCAAUUUCUCUGACAAUGAAGUAGUGCUUUUGGUUAACCUUGAAGCAACACAAAGAAAUGUUUUCGAUAAAAGCAAAACAAAUAUAAAAAAUAAAUGGGACAAUUUAAAAAUUUGCUCUAGGACAAAUAACUUUUUGUUUUCUCAGCGCGUCGACAAUAUUGAUAAUUUCUUCCUCUUCUUCAAAUUCAAAGUACAAAUUUUCAAUCAUUUUACCAAAACCCUUUUUAAUUUCGUAAAAAUGUCAACAAUUUGAAAAAGUUAGGUUCGAACAUUCCGUCCCAUAUUAAACUGAAGUUUAAACUACCUCCUGACCGUCGGUAACGUUUAAAGUUUGUCGGUAAACGCGUAAAAAACUGUAUUUGUGGUUUAAAGUGACUUUCGAGGUUUAAACUUCACUUGUAAAAUUGGGCCUUAAAUGAAUUCACGGAUAUAAAUCCAAAUUGAGCAGGAUCAGUGUAUUUUUAUUUUCAUUUAUUAGAAAUAUUUACAAUGAAAAAUGUUAUCACUGCAAGAUGUAACUAUAGUGGCAGAUUUUCUUGCAACUAAUAAUGAUUUCUGGGCUGCUGGAUUUAGAAUCGUUGAAAUUUCUAUGCCAGUAUAUACCGUUACAUACAAAUAUACAUUCAGAAUACAAAGCAAUUUAUACGAAUCAAAUUACCCGAUAUUUCUAGCGUAUAUAGCGUAAAGAAGAAACUGUAAUGGAAGAACUAGAAGAAAACAAAAAACCACAGUACUUGAAUGACUAUGUUGAUGAACAUGAAAUAGAUCAUUUAGCAAUGAAUGCUGAAGUUUAUGUAGAUAAUCUACCAAGAAGUUUUGAUGAAGUACAGGGUAGGUCAGAUUUCAAGUUUUGGAAACAAGCUAUAGACGUUUAAACAGGGUACCAGACGUGAACUGAGCCCUUUUUGUACCCCAUUCGUCUACUAAAACUCCGGUAGUCUUUUAUCUGACGCAAAUAAUCUUGUCCCCAUCGAACCAUCCUUGACGAUUCGGUUAUUGCCAUCCGUUUAAUCAGUUUUUUGUGUUUAAAACCACAUGCUGUCAAAACUUGACGCAUUAUUUCUAAACUGGUAUAAUUAUAUUCUGGAUAAUCUGCUACCUUUUGCUGUAUUAUUUCUAAUGUCGCAACCCUCCUUAUAUAAACUAUUAAUUAUCCUACGUAUAAAAUCUUGAGUAGCUUUGUCAACUGAUUGAGAGGAAAUCACUGAAAAUUCAAUUUUUUUUUCAUGUUCGAGGCGUCAAAUGACGGAUUGGGAAGGCCAGUUUCUGUGUCAGUCUCCGAAAAUAUCGAUGCAGUUCAUGACAUGACUUUAUCAGGCGUCGAAUUGGGUUAAAACGGAUAUCUGAGACACUGAAUAUUUUAUACGAACGGGUUCAUAUUAUAGUUGACGUCAAUUUGGACAUGAGAAAAAUUGUUGCAAAAUGGAAGCAACAAUCGAUGGAAUGGCGACACUCAGGUUCUCCAAAACCUAAGAAGUUUCGUGUCCAAAAAUCUGCUGGAAAAGUUCUUGCUUCAAUUUUUUGGGAUUGAUUGAAUCAUGAUUUUUUGGAUAAGGGUAGAACAAUAACUGGAGAUUACUAUUCGACAAUACUGACCACUCUACGAGAAAAAAUUAAAGAGAGAAGAUGCGGAAAGGCAGAACAACGCCCCUUGCAAACAAAUCUCAUGUUGCCAUGCAAAAAUUCGUGAUUUGAAUGAAGAAACAUUUUUUUUAAAGGUCUAGAGACGUUGCAGGUUCGCUGUAAUAAAUGCAUCCAAUUAAGAGGAGAAUAUGUUGAGUAAUAAAAUAUUUUGACAUUGAAAUUUUGUUUAAUUCUAUAAUAGGCUAAGAAUUUUUCAAUAUAUCCUCGUAAUUGUAAUAAAAACACUUAUUUAAGAGGGCAAUUCAAACAGUAAGCAGACAAAACCGUUAAGAAAAUAUAUAAAACAAAUUAGUUAUUUAUUGUUUUUCUGUCAUAUCUCAAAAACAACUUUUUUAGACAGUUACAAUGAUUUGUUUGAAGAGUUAUAAGGUUAGGUUUUGAGAAGGUAGGAAAUUGAGGCUAGGUGGAAAUGCUUGGAAACGGUUCAUGGGUUAGCAGUGAAGAAAUUCAAGAACAAAUGAUGUAAAGAAUAUACCUUGAGUUAAUUACUGAGGAUAAAACUGUGAGUUAUAAUUUUCCUAUAAUUACGUUGUCUGAAAAGUUUCCUACCUAACAAUGAAACAAGACAUCAUUUUUAUUAUUAACAUAGUUUCCUUUCAAAUUCAUACAAGUCCUGCGAUUUUCUAACCAUUUGAACCGUUCCACAUAAUAGUUACUUCUUUUCUCCCCAAAUUAGUCGUUUCUGUAUGUGAUAACGUCCUCAUUUGAUGAGAAUUUUUCUCCUGUAAAUGGAACUUUAAGUUUAAUAGCGGGCAGAAGUCGCUGGGUGUCACAUCUGGUGAAUACUGUGUUAACCAAUUCAAGCUGCAAUGCUAUCACCGAAGUAUGAGAAGGUACGUGGUCCUGAGAGAAAGCACUUUUUUCUUCUUCAAAUACUGAUACAUUAUAUAUUAUAAAAUAACAGUUCAAGUUUAUAAAUAAAAUUCAAGACAUUUUCAGA